CACGUAGGCCGCAAGCGUUGUCCGGAAUUAUUGGGCGUAAAGAGCUCGUAGGCGGUUUGUUGCGUCGGCUGUGAAAUCCCGAGGCUCAACCUCGGGUCUGCAGUCGAUACGAGCAAACUAGAGUGUUGCAGGGGAGACUGGAAUUCCUGGUGUAGCGGUGAAAUGCGCAGAUAUCAGGAGGGAACACCCGGUGGGCGAAAGGCGGGGUCUCUGGGGCAACAACUGACG
rnacentral:rRNA from 1 species